rnacentral:misc_RNA from 1 species
AAGUCGUAACAAGGUUUCCGUAGGUGAACCUGCGGAAGGAUCAUUAUUGAAACUUGAAUCGUGGCAUUGAGAACUGUUGCUGACCUGUUAAAGGGUAUGUGCACGUUCGACGUGUUGCGUUCUAUUCAUCCACCUGUGCACCUUUGUAGACUUGAUUAACUUUCGCUCUCGAGCGGUUAGAAGGGUUGCUUUCGAGCUCCCUUUGUCUAUCAAGUCUAUGUCUAUAUAAUCUCUUGUAUGUCUAGAAUGUCUUGUUUAUGGGACGCAAGUCCUUUAAAUCUUAUACAACUUUCAACAACGGAUCUCUUGGCUCUC